GAACUUUUAUUUUGGGUAUUGGUUUAGCCACUGGCGCGCCUGAUACCCAACCGGCGCCCACUGAAUACAGGGGUCGCCUACCAGAGAAUUCUCAACCCCCGGUCGGCUUCCCGACCGGGGG
rnacentral:sRNA from 1 species